UUUUUUUUCUCUCUUUAUCUGUUUGUCUGUCUGUUUUUUCUUUCUUUAUCUGUUUGUCUGUCUGUUUUUUCUUUCGUUAUCUGUUUGUCUGUCUGUUUUUUCUUUCGUUAUCUGUUUGUCUGUCUGUUUUUUCUUUCUUUAUCUGUCUGUCUGUCUGUUUUUUCUUUCUUUAUCUGUUUGUCUGUCUGUUUUUUCUUUCUUUAUCUGUUUGUCUGUCUGUUUUUUUUCUUUCUUUAUCUGUUUGUUUUUUCUUUCUUUAUCUGUCUGUUUUUUCUUUCUUUAUCUGUUUGUCUGUCUGUUUUUUCUUUCUUUAUCUGUUUGUCUGUCUGUUUUUUC
rnacentral:lncRNA from 1 species